AGAAAGUUUCAGCAUGAGAUGAAAACUAAACAGCAACAAAAAAACCCCAUUGUCGCAACAGCACGUGGGUUUGUGAGCAAUGCGGGAAUCUGUUUAAAAUGGAAAAAAUAGGAGUGCUCAGUUAUUUUUAUGACGAGUGGAGGAGUAACGGAGGUAGUGCUGUUUUAAUUUUAAAGCCAGAUAUUUGAGGAAGUGGAUUGCAGCAGUUGUUUCAUGUUUAAUUAUUUCUCAAGCUGCCGUUCAGCUGAAGAGAAGAACGAUAAAGCAGUGGUUGCUGCUGUUGUCUUGAGUGAGUUAUGCCACUCCUCUCUACGGGAUCUGAACCAGUGAAGACCUUUUUUAUGCUGUUUUUUCCUGCACUGAUUUACAGUUUCUUCUCAUGACAAAUCUUUCAGAAGUGGCAGCACACAGAAAAUGGUACGUCAUGCAAAGAUGUCAAAUGCGCUGCUGACUGUCUUGCUCUUCUUAUUUCCAAUGCGGCUAUCAGGACAUUGGUUUCCCAAAACUUUACCCUGUGAUGUGGAAGCCUUUGAAGGUACUGUGAGAGUAGACUGCAGCGAUCGUCACCUCACGGAAGUCCCCAGAGGGAUCCCUGGAAACGCUACUAACCUGACCCUGACUAUUAACCAUAUCCCCCAUAUCUCUCCAGCAUCCUUUAUUCAGCUUGAAAACCUUGUGGAGAUUGACUUCAGAUGCAACUGCGUGCCUCCCAGACUGGGGCCCAAAGACAGUGUGUGCACCACACCACCAUCAAUUGAGAAUGGCAGUUUUGCCGCUCUGACAAGACUGAAGUCAUUGUAUUUGGAUGCAAACCAACUGUCAGAAAUACCCCAGGGUCUUCCUGCUAGUCUACGACUGCUGAGUCUGGAAGCAAACAAAAUUUUUUCUAUUAAAAAAAACACUUUUUCAGGGCUAAGAAAUAUAGAAUUACUGUAUCUGGGACAGAAUUGUUACUACCGUAAUCCGUGCAAUGUUUCUUUUGAAAUUGAAAAAACAGCCUUUCUGAAUCUGAAAAAUUUGACAGUACUCUCCCUGAAGUCUAACAACUUAACUUUUAUUCCACCCAACUUGUCUUCAACUUUAAAAGAAUUGUAUAUUUACAAUAACAGAAUUCAAGAGGUUCAGGAACAUGAUUUAAGUACCCUUCACAACCUAGAAAUUCUUGAUCUCAGUGGCAAUUGCCCACGUUGCUAUAAUGCCCCAUAUCCUUGUACUCCCUGCCCUAAUAUCUCAAUUAAGAUUCAUUCAAAGGCUUUUUAUUCCUUGAAAAAAUUAAGAAUUUUGAGGCUCCACAGUAACUCUCUUCGGAGUAUACCAAGCAGCUGGUUUAAAAACAUCAAGAAUCUCAAAGAUCUUGACCUCUCCCAAAACUUCCUCAUAAAGGAGAUUGGAGACGCUCAGUUUUUGAAGCUUAUUCCCAGUCUUGUAGAGCUGGAUCUGUCCUUUAAUUUUGAAUUGCAGAUGUAUUCUCCAUCCUUGAAUCUGUCUAAGACAUUUUCCUCCCUCUCUAACCUGGAAACCCUAAGAAUCAAGGGUUAUGUCUUUAAAGAACUGAGAGAAGGAAAUCUAGAUCCAUUACUCGGUCUUAGAAAUCUGACAGUGUUGGAUCUUGGGACUAAUUUUAUUAAAAUUGCUGACCUAAGAGUGUUCAAGAAAUUCCAAGCUCUCAAAAUCAUAGAUCUCUCAGUGAAUAAAAUUUCUCCUUCUUCAGGUGAAAGUAACUUUUAUGGAUUUUUCUCUGAUCCCAGGAUUACAGUAGAGCAAUACAGCAGGCAAGUUUUACAAGAGAUGCAUUACUUUAGGUAUGAUGAGUAUGGUCGAAGUUGCAAGUCCAAAGACAAAGAGGCUGAUUCCUACCAACCUUCGGUCAAUGAAGAUUGCAUGAAUUAUGGAAAAACUCUAGAUUUAAGCAGAAACAACAUAUUUUUUGUUAACUCUGUAGACUUCCAGGAUCUUAGUUUCCUCAAAUGCCUCAACUUGUCAGGUAAUGCCAUAAGUCAAACUUUAAAUGGAAGCGAAUUCUGCUACCUGUCUGGAUUGAAAUAUCUGGAUUUUUCUAACAACAGGAUUGAUUUGCUAUACUCAACUGCUUUCAAAGAGCUGAAAUUUUUAGAAAUUCUAGAUCUGAGCAACAACAAACAUUACUUUCUGGCAGAAGGUGUUAGUCAUGUGCUUAGUUUUAUGAAAAACUUGGCCUAUCUGAAGAAGCUGAUGAUGAAUGAGAAUGAGAUUUCUACCUCUAUUAGCAUGGGGAUGGAAAGUCAAUCUCUUAAAACUUUAGAAUUUCGGGGAAAUCGUUUAGAUAUUUUUUGGGCAGAUGGGAAGACUGAAUAUCUGUCAUUCUUCAAGAAUCUGACCAAACUGGAACAACUGGAUAUUUCCUCUAACAUGCUCAGCUUUUUACCUCCUGGUGUUUUUUCAGCUAUGCCUCCAGAACUCAAGAUACUGAAUUUAACCAGUAACCGGUUGAAGACAUUCAAUUGGGGAAAACUCUACUUAUUGACCAGGCUAAUAACUCUGGACCUCAGCAAUAACCUUCUGACUACUGUUCCCCGAAAGCUGUCCAAUUGCACUUCAACUCUUCAAGAACUGAUACUCCGAAACAAUCGUAUUACACGGAUAACCAAAUAUUUUCUCAGAGGUGCCAUUACGUUGUCAUACUUGGACCUCAGCUCAAACAAGAUCCAAAUAAUUAAGAAAUCUAGCUUCCCUGAAAAUAUCAUAAACAACCUGAGGAUGCUGCUUUUGCACAACAAUCCUUUCAAGUGCAACUGUGAUGCAGUAUGGUUUGUUGGGUGGAUCAAUCAGACUCACGUGACAAUUCCUUUUCUGGCCACAGAUGUGACCUGUGCUGGCCCAGGGGCACACAAAGGAAGGAGCUUGGUUUUCCUGGAUCUGAAUACCUGUGAGCUGGACACAUCCUAUUUGAUCAUGUAUGCUUUAUCAACUUCAGCUGUCCUAAGUUUAAUAACGUUUGCAGUUAUGAGUCACCUCUAUUUCUGGGAUGUCUGGUAUAGCUAUCAUUACUGCACUGCCAAGUUGAAAGGCUAUAGACGUUUACCUUUACCAGAUACCUGCUAUGAUGCUUUUAUUGCCUAUGACAAUACUGAUCUGGCUGUGAAUGAAUGGGUGAUGACAGAAUUGGUUGAAAAGCUGGAAGAUCAAAAAGCCAGACAGUUCAAUUUAUGCUUGGAAGAAAGAGACUGGCUUCCAGGACAGCCAGUCUUUGACAACCUUUCCCAGAGUAUUCAACUGAGCAAAAAGACCAUAUUUGUGCUGACCAACAAGUAUAUUAAAAGUGGCACUUUCAAGACAACAUUUUACAUGGCCCACCAACGACUUCUAGAUGAAAAAAUUGAUGUGAUUAUCUUGAUAUUUCUUGAGAAAGUAUUACAGAAGUCCCGAUAUGUUCAGCUGAGGAAGAGGCUAUGCAGAAGUUCUGUUCUGGAAUGGCCAACUAACCCUCGAUCUCAGCCUUACUUCUGGCAGUGUCUGAAAAAUGCCAUAGCUGUGAACAAUACCCUGGCUUACAACAAACUUCUCCAGGAGACUGUUUAGCUUUACUGCUCCCUGUAAAAUACUGUUACUGUGUGUGGUGAGGAAAAGAUACUGAACUUGCUAUGGAGAAAAUGUGAAAGUGGAGAGGAUAAAUGUAAUUGUGAUAUGAUUCUCAAAAAUGAAAUGCACAAUCUGUUCCAAAGAUAAUAAUUCAAUUGUUUCACUAUGACAACAUUAAAUAUAAACUGUUGCCAGCACAGAUGUUUAGCUGAUGCACACCUCAUUUAACAUUUGCAGCAAGAGAAGAUGCAACAGAGUCACCACUCCCUGUUUCAGUUCAUUGGAGAACAUCUGACAUCACCUGGCUGGGUCAAGUGUGAGUGAGUCAAUUGAUCAGCGCAAUCUAGUUCCCAGGAUGCUAGGAGGAGUUCAGUCAUGCUUGAGAUUGCUGCUGUUUGGAUCACUGUUGUAGUAAACGUAAUUUUAAUAGAAAAAUAUUGUUAAUGCAUUUGUGUCUAUUUAUGAAAACAGGAAAAAACACAAAAUGUUAAUUUCAGAAAAUACUUUAGGUGAAUUUCAUGUUUAGGAGUUGGGGAAAUGUAUGCAUGAUUAACUCUGCAACUCAGGCUUCCAUCUGCUGAGCCUACCAGUUCUGCUUGACGGGGCAACAGCGCUAGCCACUGGGGAGAUGAUAUGCUGGUGGGACUUAUGGCAGAAGCUUGGAUGAGGUAUGGGAGAUCUCCCAUCUCCCACUGCUGCAUUGUCACAAAGGUUGUAAAUCAGAAAAGAUUUUGAAGAACUUGCAUGUACCAAAAUGGGAAAGUGUGAGAGAAGAGAAACAAGUCAGAAGAGCUUGCAAGCUGUGGAUCAGGAGGAAUUACAAGAUUAUUCUCACUCAUCACUUACUCAGAAUAUUUGAGAUCCACAGGUCUGUGUGGAAGAACUACAUUCAGACAAGACUAUGCUUUUGAACGUUGCAGCUCAAUGCUCCAUCCCACUCAUAAUAAAAUCUUAUAACUUAAUUCUCCAGUUAUCUUGGAGCAUAUUUUGAGGGCUGGUAGAAACACAGUCACUAAGCUGUGCUCAUUUAUUUAUUCUGAACUCACGUUUGUGAUGCAAAAGCAGCAACUUCCAAAAAAGGAUUUUAGUAAGCCUUGCUCUAUUGGACAAACAAGUUGCAAACACAAACUGAAGACAUACUCCUUCCCAACUAGUUUACUUCUACUUCCUGUGGCUGAAAUUCUGCGAACAAAAUCCUGUUCUGAGGUGAAAUCCAGGCCUUCCAAGAUUCUUGACCUUCAAGCAAAGACAUUAAUCCAAUAGCAGUUAUGUAAAUAUAUGUACACAUACAUGUACAUAUACACGUAUAUUCAAAACACCUUCAGCUAUAAAGAAAAAAAUGUAAUUUUUGAUGUCAUAUUAACUCAAUUUCAACUAUUUUGAAUAAUCCAUCAACAAAUUUCACAGAAAGAAUGUGGUUUAUGUAUUUGUAGGAAAAAUAUCCAGUACACAAACCCCAUAAAUCGUGCUAAAUACAUAAAUAAUUCUAAAGAAAGAAGAACCUAAAAGUGCAAAACAUACACAUUUUCUCAAAGUAACAUUCUAUUCUCAGGAACAAAAAUGAACUGAUGGUCUAAGACUGGAACAGUUCUCAAAUAUUUUCUUGUAUUAGUAAUUUUACAUGUAGUGAGUGACAGAAAUACAGAGAGAGAACAGAGGGCUUUUUUGUCAUCUGUUUCUUACAGAUAUUUAUACAUUUAUUUUUAAUCACUAAGCUUCUUUUGCAACUGUAUAUUUCAUUCAAACCUAAUACAACUACUGCAUUAUCUACUAUGGAAAUAUAUUCAUUACUUAUCAGCGUAACUUAUCUAUUGUUCACUGUUAGACUUCCUAUAUUACAGUAUGUUAUCCAAGAUGAGUACACUCUAAAGACCUUGAAUUGUAUUUGGUUAUGCCAUCAUUAAUGCCUUCUCAUCAUUUUGAAAAAAAGAAAUACAAACACUAUUUCUCUUCUGUAUUUCUCUAGUCUCAUCUUUCAGACCCCCUUUUAUCCCUUCAUCUAGUAGACUGGAGAAUGCCCUCCUUAUAGACAUUUUCCCCCAUUUUUUAUCCCUGAGCUAUGAUCAAAUCAAUUCCUCAUUUUCUCUCUCUUGAAUAAAUCAGCUCUGCUUUUCAAACAAGAAAAAAUAAAGCUUCUCUUUUUCAGUCUCUCAUGGGAAGACAUUUGAACUAGCAAGUGCCACAAUGAGCAGAGAGGUAAAAGAAGAGAUGCUCAGCUUGCUUUAGAUGGAGGCAGCUGGCUUGCAUGACAAAGCUAGGAGGGAGCCUGGGGAGCCCCAGACCAGCUCUUGCCACAGGCAGCUAUUCCAGAAAGAGCUAGGCUGCCACCAUCUGCUGUGGACUCCUAGGUGCUCCUUAAAGUUCUUUCCUUGGGAAUACCAAAAGUUAUGUUUUAGGCCACCAGACUCAGCUGUUUUCUCAGACUUUCUACUUAAGAAAGUAAGCUUAAGAAGGAUGAGCAGAGACUAUGGAAUUCUGCAGACACAAAGAACUUCUGAAUGAAAGAUGAAUGUAUCCAGAUCCCAUGUAAGCUCACACUCAUUUCCAAAUCUUCUAUGUGUUUUUUAACUAUGAUACAUUGGUUAUCAUAGUUAUAUGGUAUAUAUAUAUUGGUAUAUCAUGGCUAUUGGUUAUUAUAUAUAUAUAUAUAUGUAUGUAUGUAUGUAUCUUAAGUUUAAAAUUACAUUAACUUUUGUUCAUAAAUUCCUAAAUUUCUGGUAACUUCUUGCACUCUCUUUUUCUCUUCUUCCCUAAUGAAGAAACAUAGAAUGUCUUGGAUUGGAAGAGACCCCAAGGAUCAUCAAGUUCCAACCCCCCUGCCACAGGCAGAGCCACCAACCUCCAGAUUUAAUACUAGACCAGGCUACCCAGAGCCCCAUCCAGCCUGGCCUUGAACACUUCCAGUGUUGGGGCAUCCACAGAUUCUCUGGGCAGUCUGUUCCAGUGCCUUAUCGCUCUCUCUGUAAAGAAUUUCUCCCUGACAUCAAAGUUAAUCAUAAUGGAUCAUAAUACAUCGCUAAAUACACAGCAGAACAGAGUAGCUCUUGUGUCUCAGCAUUAUUGUAGUUAUUUUUCAUGGACAGGUCUGAAAAAUUUCUUAUACUAUAGCUGAAUAGAAAUUUUAUGGUGGUAGAAUGAAACAACACAAACUACAGCAUGAUCAGAAUUUGAAUCUGGUGUAUUUCUGUUCUAGAGAAAACCAUCAUGAGAUGGUUAGUUCUCAAUGAAUCCCCACAUUCCCCUGCCUGCUGAUCAUCAUGUGCCUGCCCACCCAGCAAGUGAACAUACUGAUUCUACUUCUUAUUUUUCUUUACACUUUUUAUUGAGCUUCUCCUUUAUCUUCUUUCCACUUCUUGUUUCAUGGGAACUCUUUCUGCAGAGCAGACAAAUGGACUCAACAUUAAUCUCAAAUGCCUAUAUUCUGCAUUAUGCUUUAUCCUCAUUUUAGAUGAUAAAAUUUCUCAUGGCAGCUAUUCACUUUGGGAUAUUUCAUAUGCAUCCAUAUACCUAUGCAUUAAAUAAAAUCAUAUUCCAUAUGAUUUUGCAUAUUGCAUAUUGCACAAAAUCAAAGUAUAUCCAGGAAGAAACUUCAUAUCAUUUUAAAAGGAUAAAGAAGAAACAUGCUUAAGUUGCAAAUCCACAGGCAUUUCUCGUUCAGUUCAUUGCAGAAACACCACUGAACUUAUUACCACCAUUUAUUUGUCAUUUCUACAAAUAAAUGGUUAUCUCCUUCAGCAUGAAUCCAUAUUUAAUUUUUUUUUUCUGUUCAUCAUGAAAAUGCUUUAGGUUAUUUUUAAUUUGUGUUACUGUGCCUUGCAGUGUAGGGUAGGAAGAGCCAUCCUAGCAAAUUGAACUGUAUUUCAAGCUUAUUUCUACAUCUGUUGUAAAUGUAAACAAUUUUUGAAUUAUGUAGCAACUAGUAUAGUAGUUACAUUAAUAUAGUGACUUUAUAACAUUUUUCAUCAUAAAAGCUUUUCCUUCAGGCUACUUCUUAUCUUACUGGAGAGUCUUUCAAGACUUGCAGUAGCUCAUGCAAAUGUUCCCUACAUGUUUUAUUCAUGUGGAGGUGUUUGCCCACAAGUCGAUGACCAGAAUACAAUCUAUAUUCACAUUGGCCAUUUUAGUACAGAUGAUGGGUACACUGCUUCAUCUGCACUACUGUAAUUCCUUAUUUUAGUAUGUGAAAAACAACAUCACUGAGCUUUGAGUUUAAGCGAGGCUUGGAAGAACUAAAGGAAUAAAGUAUCCUAAAAUCAUGACAGUUUAAGGGAUUACUCAAGUGUAUUUUGACAACUUUUAGAACUCUGAUUUUUACAUUGGACUGGAUUUGAUAUGUUAAACCUAAAGAAUGCACUAAGAAAGGUCUCCAGCCUUUUUGAACAUCAAAGGCAACUUUAUCAACUUUAAAAUUGUUAAAGAAAAGGUAUCUGAAAUUCAGUCAUUGCUGAGGAUGCUACCCAGAGAUCCUCCACCUGCUGUUACAUGGUUGAGGUUUGUGUCAAGCAGUGAUAUGUGUAUAAGAACUGUUUCUGAGCACAAAAAAAUUGAAGGAGAUGGGAGGGGAAGAAAACUGGUGCUUUGGUGUCAGCUCUGGAAAAUCUCUUCCCACGCUGUAUGGGACUUUCUCACUCUCACCAACAUGACCUUGCAGACACUGUCUCACUGUAACCUGACAUGGAUGCCAUACUACUUACCCAUAUUUCUGUAGCACCUUAUCUAAGUCUAAAUACCUCAACGCUACUUUUCCAUGUGAACAUAGCUCUGGAAGCCCAUUCAAAUGCAUCCUUAACAAAGAUCUCAGUUUUGACUAGCAUUACAUUUCCCCAUAUUCCUGCCAUCUGCUUUCAGAAUUGGCAGAGCUGUAAAAAUGUCCCUUCUGUGGAUGAUUACUACACAUGGGUGAUAGCCUUCGAAGAGCUCAUACAGAGUUCAUGCACUCUUGUGGAAGAGGAUUUAUCUUUCAAUUACCAGAAGCAAAUGUAAUACCAUUAUCUAAAGCUUUCUCAGCACUUGUUAAUCCUGAUAUCAUUGCAGCAUAUGAACUUAUGAUUGAAACAAUUAUGUGCUUAAAGGGCAUUUUCAAAGAGCUAAACAAAGCAUAUGCAAACCUCAAUUUAUCCUUAAAAAAAGUAAAUGUCCUUGAUCUUGGUCAAGGACAAACUUCAUUAGAAAAACUGACAGACAUGUAUACAAGGAAUUAGAUAAUCUUGCAGACCUAUUCUUGAAAGAAUAACCAUAUAUUUCCACAAUCAAGGGGAAAUAGUAUUUUUCUUAAUAGCACGAGAAAAAAAGUAUAAAUGAUUACUCUCAGUUGAUACAGAAAUUCAAGUCACAAGCAUCAUUAAUAAUCUGAUAGACAAAAAGAGCAUAUGUACUAUUCAGAUAAUCAACACCGUAAACAAUACCAAAGUAUCUUGGAUUUGGGUAAAAAAAUAUUUUCUUAUAUUUUCAUAUAAAAGAGUUUAAAUUUCUUAAGGGUGUAGCUUGUUUGAUUUUUUCUUCAAAUACUGUGGUGAGGUUUUCAACAACACUGAAUUUAUCUUUCACCUAAUCUGUGAUAUUUACAUCUCUUAACAAAUUGAACACACCAGUUAUUUUGCAUUUAAAAAGGUGCAUAAUGUCAAGGUAACAGACUUCAGCUAUUACAGAUUUUAUAUUUUAGUGGUAGAUUUGGCAUAUUUAUUGAAAACAUUCCUGAAUUAAAGAUUUCUCAUUUAAACUUGAAUGAGAUUUCUCCACCAUUAGCAUUUUAACUAGGAAGUUCUUCCCUUCCGAAAUGAGGCUUCAGGGAAAGGUAUAUUUUUAUUAUAUGACGAAAUGGAAACAAAUUAUAUAGGAUUAUGUAGGUUAGAACUCUUCUUAU